GAUGAAGAACGUAGCGAAAUGCGAUACGUAAUGUGAAUUGCAGAAUUCAGUGAAUCAUCGAGUCUUUGAACGCACAUUGCGCCCUCUGGUAUUCCGGAGGGCAUGCCUGUCCGAGCGUCAUUGCUGCCCUCAAGCACGGCUUGUGUGUUAGGCCCCGUCCUCCGCUCGCGGGGGACGGGCCUGAAAGGCAGCGGCGGCACCGCGUCCGGUCCUCGAGCGUAUGGGGCUUUGUCACCCGCUCUGUAGGCCCGACCGGCGCCUGCCGAUCAACCACACUUUUAUUCAGGUUGACCUCGGAUCAGGUAGGGAUACCCGCUGAACUUAAGCAUAUCAAUAAGCGGAGGA
rnacentral:misc_RNA from 1 species